rnacentral:lncRNA from 10 species
CAAUAUUAGCAACAAGAAGCCUCUGCCACCAUGGAAGAAGGAUCUGGAAAGAAGGAUGGGAUCUCAGCCUGAUGGCAGGUCUUACCCAAGAGGGAAUUUUUUUCUCAGGAGAGUGAAGAAAGCCUGGCUUUCCUCAUCAGCUCUCUUUGUGUUGAAUUCAUCAGUCAUGACAAUCAUUUGAGAAACCUUAGAAGAUCAUCCCAAACCUGGAAAAAGUCAGUUACAUUAGGAAAGGAGUGAGCAUAAAGAGCACCUACUAGAGAGAGGGUCCUUUCACACACAUGACCUCAUGUAACCUUCACAAUCAUGCCAUGAGGCAGUGCUCAUACAUCAUUAUCAGAAACUUCAAAGACUUCACUGAGCAUCGAAUUGACAGGCUACAACUUGAAUUAUGAAGUCUUCAGUAGCUAAAUCUCUAAACUUGGAAAGCCUCUGCUCCUCAGAUCAUCACCUAAAAACAAUGAACAUCUAGUCUGGAGACUGCUAUUGUCUGCAUGUGACUUAGGAACCAUUUUUUUCUGUUCUUCCCCUCCUUAGAAUAAUAUAUCAUAUAUACAUACCAGUAGAAAAUUCAGGUAAUAUAGUACUGGCACAGAAAAUAAAAAAUAGUAAUCCAG